rnacentral:tRNA from 1 species
GGGGCCGGAUGGGGUACUGGUGUCCUCCGCGGUCUUCAAAACCGUACGUGACCGCCGUGCGCGGUCAGGUGAGUUCGAUUCUCACACGGUCCCGCCA